CAAAUUUAAGUGCAGAGGUCAUAACCCUCUGGACCAAAGGUUAAUGACGUUGAUCUUUUGUCCAGGUUUCCACCUGCAGACCGGGAAAGCCCUUCUGCUUCAACGGGUAUUGGCGACAUGAGAAAGAAAGAUGCACAGCUUUAAGACCAGAAACUUUGGCCUACAUUAGUCAUUGCUGGUAGUCAACACUACCAUUACAGGGCAAGUGAAACAAAGAACAGCCAGGGAAUUCCUAGAAGCAUGGCACUCAUCCACAAACUCCAUCAACAAACA